CCGAAGUGAACGUACCUCUAGUGUACCAAUUGUCACGCCAGUGGCAUCGUUGGGUAGCUAUGUACGGUUGUGAUAAGCGCUGAAAGCAUCUAAGCGCGAAGCACGCUUCAAGAUUAGGUAUCCCUUACGUAAGUAACUAAAGACUCCUCGGAGAUUACGAGGUUGAUAGGCUGCAGGUAUAAGUAUGGUAACAUAUUCAGCUGAGCAGUACUAAUAAGUCGUGCGGCUUAACCAUU
rnacentral:rRNA from 1 species